ACUCCUACGGGAGGCAGCAGUGGGGAAUAUUGGACAAUGGGGGCAACCCUGAUCCAGCAAUGCCGCGUGUGUGAAGAAGGCCUGCGGGUUGUAAAGCACUUUCAGUAGAGAAGAAAAGCCUAGGGUUAAUACCCCUGAGUCUUGACGUUACCUACAGAAGAAGCUCCGGCUAACUCCGUGCCAGCAGCCGCGGUAAUACGGAGGGAGCGAGCGUUAAUCGGAAUUACUGGGCGUAAAGCGCACGUAGGCGGCUUGUUAAGCCAGAUGUGAAAGCCCCGGGCUCAACCUGGGAACUGCAUUUGGAACUGGCAGGCUAGAGUUUUGUAGAGGGUGGUAGAAUUUCAGGUGUAGCGGUGAAAUGCGUAGAGAUCUGAAGGAAUACCGGUGGCGAAGGCGACCACCUGGCCAAUAACUGACACUGAGACGCGAAGGCGUGGGUAGCAAACGGGAUUAGAUACCCUGGUAGACUCUG
rnacentral:rRNA from 1 species